AACUAACGCUGGCGGCGUGCCUAACACAUGCAAGUCGUACGAGAAAGCCGGCUUCGGCUGGUGAGUAAAGUGGCGCACGGGUGAGUAACGCGUGGAUAAUCUGCCCUUAAGUGUGGAAUAACGUACCGAAAGGUGCGCUAAUACCGCAUAAUGCCUGGCAACACAAGUUGUCCGGCCAAAGAAGGCCUCUGUUUACAAGCUUUCGCUUCAGGAUGAGUCCGCGUACCAUUAGCUUGUUGGUGGGGUAAUGGCCUACCAAGGCUGCGAUGGUUAGCUGGUCUGAGAGGAUGAUCAGCCACACUGGAACUGAGACACGGUCCAGACUCCUACGGGAGGCAGCAGUGAGGAAUAUUGCGCAAUGGGGGCAACCCUGACGCAGCAACGCCGCGUGAGUGAGGAAGGUUUUCGGACUGUAAAGCUCUGUCGAGCGGGAAGAAGUGUACCAUGGCUAAGUAUCCAUGAUAUUUGACGGUACCG
rnacentral:rRNA from 1 species